CCUUUUUUUUUUUUUUUUUUUUUUUUUUUUUUUUUAUGGAAAUUGGGCAGUCUUCCUUACAGCAAUUAAAU
rnacentral:ribozyme from 13 species